rnacentral:rRNA from 1 species
GACGAACGCUGGCGGCGUGCUUAACACAUGCAAGUCGAACGGAAAGGCCCUGCUUAUGUGGGGUGCUCGAGUGGCGAACGGGAGAGUAACACGAGAGUAACGUGCCAUAGACAUUGGGAAAAUUUGAGAAAACAGGGGAUAAUACAGGAUAGGAGUACUUGCUGCUCGGAGGGGGUUGGAAGGUUUCGGCGGUUGGGGAGGGACUCGCGGCUUAUUAGCUUGUUGGUGGGGUAGUGGCUUACCAAGGCUUUGACGGGUAGCCGGCCUGAGAGGGUGACCGGCCACCUUGGGACUGAGAUACGGCCCAGACUCCUACGGGAGGCAACAGUGGGGAAUAUUUCGCAAUGGGCCCGAGCCUGAGGCAGCACCGCUGUGUGCGGGAUAACGGCCUUCGGGUUGUGAACCGCUUUCGCCUGUGACGAAGCGUGAGUGACGGUAAUGGGUAAAGAAGCACCGGCUAACUACGUG